GGCGGAGGGAAGCUCAUUGGUGGGGCUACGCGCUGAGUGCACCUCGUCACUCUACCCCAUGUCCCCUGGGAAGGUCUGAGACUGGGGCCAAGAGCGGCCCUAACAGGGCCCUCCCUGAGCAGCGGGGAGGUGAGUUCCCAGAGAACGGGUCUCCGCGCGAGGGCAGACUGGGCAGGAGAUGCCACGGACCCCGCCCUCGGGAGGGGCCUGGCGGAUGCCUCCUCAAGCGGAGCUUGGAACAGACUCACGGCCAGCAAAGUGAGUUCAAUGGCUGAGGUGAGGCACUCCGCAAGGGGGCCUCAUAACCCAAUUCAGACUACUCUCCCGCCGUC
ensembl:misc_RNA RNaseP_nuc Nuclear RNase P